rnacentral:misc_RNA from 1 species
GAAAUGCGAUACGUAGUGUGAAUUGCAGAAUUCAGUGAAUCAUCGAAUCUUUGAACGCACAUUGCGCCCUUUGGUAUUCCAAAGGGCAUGCCUGUUCGAGCGUCAUUUGUACCCUCAAGCUUUGCUUGGUGUUGGGCGUCUUUUGUCUUUGGCCUCGCCCAAAGACUCGCCUUAAAACGAUUGGCAGCCGGCCUACUGGUUUCGCAGCGCAGCACAUUUUUGCGCUUGCAAUCAGCACAAGGACGGCAAUCCAUCAAGACUACAUUUUUACGUUUGACCUCGGAUCAGGUAGGGAUACCCGCUGAACUUAAG